GGUUCUAUACAUACACUGUAUAUACAUUGUAAUGAAAUGAUUAUGGGCUUCUUUAUAUUCCUCUAUUUACCUAACAAAAGGUCUGAUGGAGGCUUUUUAGACCUCCUUUGCAUAGAUCCAUCAAAUGAUGACAUACCUAGAAGCAGGAUGAAAUCAGACAAUGUCUCAGCAGGUUAAGGUAAUAUCUACUGUUUUGUCAGAAAGAUCUGAUAGGUAUGUAGCCUUUUGACUAAAUAGAAACCUUAUGAGUUAAAGCUAAUCCCCAAUUCAUGCAAACCCUUUGGAAGAAUUAAAGCUUAUGAGGGGGUCUUAAAGCUCCAAAACUGAAAUGUAAAAAGAACUUACUCUGUUGAAUUCCCAACAAGUUAUUUUAUAUACUCAUUUUAACCGCAUGAACACCUAUUUAUUUAUUCAUAAAAAUUGUAUAUUGCAAUUUUACAAAACAAAUAGCAAAACAGUCUACAAUGUUUUUCACUGAGCACACUGCACUCAAGCAUAGGCAUGUUUACACAAAAUAAGUCCUUUGCACAAGUAAAAAUCAAGGAAGGACAUUUGUAUGUUGCCCAGCUAAAUCUUCCAAAACAAAGGAGAAAAGUACCAUAAGUGGGGGGGGGGGGGAGGAAAUUACACAAACUCUCUAAACAAUGAAAAUUGUACAAAAUGUUAUUUAAAAGUAGACAAAACAAGACUGCAUGCAAGAUGAAUAAUAUACAUAAAUAACUGGGAUGAGAUCUCCUUGACUACAUCCUGUUUCAUGCUUCAGAAAAACAAAAUGGCAUAGCCUCAUUUGAUUUUUCAAAACUGUGUUGAUCUAUGUUCAUUUUAAAUAGUGUAAUACAAGAAAAUACCCAUUUGAAUGCCCAGGGUAUCUCCUCAUAGUAGGAAAGGAUUUGAGGUGUCUGGAGAAAUAGUUGUAAUUGCUAUACCACAGUGGUUAAGACUCAUAUUUUAAUAUCUGUUCAUUCUUCAUGCAGUGUUACCUAGUUAUAAUUCACUUUUUUAUGCCCAGAGAACUCUUUUCACUGGGCACCUUGUAAAAUAAUGAACAAAUGAAUGAAUGAAGGCUGUAAUGGUAUGCAUGUUUACCCAGCUGAAUUCCGUGGGACUUACUUCUGAAAAGACAUCCAUAUGAUUACACUGUAAAUUACUUUAUACCAAAUUAAGAGUCAUUCUGUUUAGGAUUUCAGUCUAUAUUCUUACCUUGUUUCUACAUGCUGUGUAUUUUUUGUUCUCUCUGAGCAGAGCUGGGCUUGCACAGAGGAAUUAUAGGCAGCACACUCUGAGAACCAGAUUUAUUAAUGGAGUUGUAGGUCAUAGCAGGGGCUAGGUCUCAGGAGACAUUUCUCAAGGAAUAAAUGAAGAUCAGUCAUCCAGUUAACAGAAUGACUUAUAUCCCAGUACUAAGCACAUUUACACAGAAGUAGUUUUCAUUUAUCUCAAUGAGUGUGCACCCUAAAACAGAAACGAGCUUACCAAUACCAGGAUAUCUGUUCUGUCUAUGACUGUUUCCUUUUCUUUGGUUCUUUGCCCCACUAUAAGUGUUACCGGUAAUACAAUCAUCUCAGCACGGCUAAUUAAAUGAUCACCCAUCUGCUACUGUAAAAGGUGUGCCUAUCUAACAUACAUUUAAGUUCUCGUUAUUCAUUCUUAAAUCAUGUUUUCUUUUGUUUUUAGAAGCAUCAUAAACCAUGUCAUUCAAGAAGGGAACUAACAAAAAGAAGAGAGAGAGAGAGAGAGAGAGAGAGAGAGAGAGAGAAGGGAAAAGGGCGAAAGAACAAUGGGAGAAAAUAGGGCAGUAGUACACUUUCCCGGUAGUGAUGUAUGGAAGUGAGAGCUGGACCAUAAAGAAGGCUGAUCGCUGAAGAAUUGAUGCUUUUGAAUUAUGGCGCUGGAGGAGACUCUUGAGAGUCCCAUGGACUGCAAGUAGAUCAAACCUAUCCAUUCUUAAGGAAAUCAGCCCUGAGUACUCACUGGAAGGACAGAUCCUGAAGCUGAGGCUCCAAUACUUUGGCCACCUCAUGAGAAGAGAAGACUCCCUGGAAUAGACCCUGAUGUUGGGAAAGAUGGAGGGCACAAGGAGAAGGGGACGACAGAGGACGAGAUGGCUGGACAGUGUUCUCGAAGCUACGAAGAUGAGUUUGACCAAGCUGCAGGAGGCCAUGAAAGACAGGAGUGCCUGGCGUGCUCUGGUCCAUGGGGACACGAAGAGUCGGACAUGACUAAAUGACUAAACAACAACAGUACACUUGAAGUGCAUUCCCAGACAUAUUUCUUCUAGUCCAACCCCCGGCAAUGCAGGAAUCUCCCAACCUCUACUUAAAAACCUCCAAAGAAGGAGAGUCCACAACCUUCCUGAGGGGAGACUGUUCCACUGUCGAACAGCUCCUACUGUCAGAAAGUUUUUCCUGAUGUUUAGUCAGAAUCUCCUUUCUUGUACAGUAACUUGAA
rnacentral:lncRNA from 1 species